rnacentral:rRNA from 1 species
UGAGUAACGCGUGGGAAUCUACCGUGCCCUGCGGAAUAGCUCCGGGAAACUGGAAUUAAUACCGCAUACGCCCUACGGGGGAAAGAUUUAUCGGGGUAUGAUGAGCCCGCGUUGGAUUAGCUAGUUGGUGGGGUAAAGGCCUACCAAGGCGACGAUCCAUAGCUGGUCUGAGAGGAUGAUCAGCCACAUUGGGACUGAGACACGGCCCAAACUCCUACGGGAGGCAGCAGUGGGGAAUAUUGGACAAUGGGCGCAAGCCUGAUCCAGCCAUGCCGCGUGAGUGAUGAAGGCCUUAGGGUUGUAAAGCUCUUUCACCGGAGAAGAUAAUGACGGUAUCCGGAGAAGAAGCCCCGGCUAACUUCGUGCCAGCAGCCGC